GUGCCAGCAGCCGCGGUAAUACGUAGGGUGCAAGCGUUAUCCGGAAUUAUUGGGCGUAAAGAGCUCGUAGGCGGUUUGUCGCGUCUGCUGUGAAAUCUGGGGGCUCAACCCCCAGCCUGCAGUGGGUACGGGCAGACUAGAGUGCGGUAGGGGAGAUUGGAAUUCCUGGUGUAGCGGUGGAAUGCGCAGAUAUCAGGAGGAACACCGAUGGCGAAGGCAGAUCUCUGGGCCGUAACUGACGCUGAGGAGCGAAAGGGUGGGGAGCAAACAGGCUUAGAUACCCUGGUAGUCCACCCCGUAAACGUUGGGAACUAGUUGUGGGGUCCAUUCCACGGAUUCCGUGACGCAGCUAACGCAUUAAGUUCCCCGCCUGGGGGAGUACGGCCGCAAGGCUAAAACUCAAAGGAAUUGACGG
rnacentral:rRNA from 1 species